AUUCGUUUGGAGGACGGUUUGCGCGACCCGGAGAUGCUCGCGGCGUCACCGCCGCCAACCGCCCCUUUCGCCCUCGUCCCGUCACCGCCGCCUCCGUUCCCCUUCACACCAUAGCUUCUCUUCAAUCUCCUCUCCCACGCACUGCCGGAGAACUGAACGCCCGCCCCCCAACUCUCCACCGUGCGAGCCAGAUGGGUCAGGUCACCGGAACCGGAAGCACUGGAAAUCGGGAGAGUUCGCGGAGACGUCCGAGUCCGGGAGGAAGGGUGGCGCUCGCAGCCGCAGCCCCGUCAAGACGCGGCUGGAUGCACGGGCCGACGCUAGCUAAGGCGCGGGUCUGCAGACUCUGCACCGUCAUGGAGGCCCUCGCGCGCCGACCUCAUCGCCACCAAUAAUUGGCAGCAGGCCCUCCAGGCAUUACUACCUCAAGGGAAGAGUGAAUUACCUGCAUGGGUACAAUAUGGUAGAAGAUGGAGGACAACUAAGGCAUCCAUGAAGUCUGCUGCUUGGCCCACAGUCUACAAGGUCAUGUGCAUGAAGACGAUAUUGCCAACUCGUCAAUGGCCAUGCACGGCGUCAUGGCUGAUUUGCUCGUCAGCCGCUGCUGUUUGGUGUCCAAAGUACACGGCGAUGAAUGCGGGCCUAGGCGACAAGAACCCCCCGCCUUUCUUCAGCACGAUUGUACAUGUCGAUUAGACAAUUACGAUUACCAUGGUGCUGGCUGGAGCGGGUAAUCUCAACUUCUCAUGUCGAGUUUGAGACCGUAGAGUGAUGGUGGAGGCGAUGAUCUUGAAUUUGGGAAGACGAUGAUUCAUAGCUUGUUGCGCGAAUAUAGUUUCAUUUGAAUGGCAAUUUUUAUGUCGGAACUGUGGGAGUGCUUACUGUGUGCCUUAUGAUCAGUGCGUUGCAGCAGAGGCUGUAUUUCUUCUGUUGCGAGUUGCUAAUCAUUUUGGCAAGGCAUUUUUUCCCUUUUUAUUUAUUUAUAUCCUUUUGACUGUGUGCAUCUUUGAUGUCUCAACUAGUUCUUGAUAUCAUGUUGUUUCAGAGGCCGGAUGUAAUUGGCAUCUUUUGGAUAUUAAUAUAUUCCUUUUAUCGAAAAA